GGGCGCAUAAAUGAAUACUCAAAGAACUUGAAUGAGCGUGACAUACUCCUUGAAAGAAAAAGGCAUAGUUUGCAUAAAAAGGAUACUUAAAGAACUUGAAUACGCGUUAUAUUCCUUAAAAGGAAAAAGGCAUCGUUAAAGGCUUGACUAAAACAUUAUCAGAGUUUGCAACGGAAGGCGUAACUGAAAUAAUCAGUGUUUACAGCGGAAUGCAUAACUGAGAUACAUGUAUGAAGACAUGUAUCCUUUCUGAGCCUACUUUAAGUUCGACAAAAACUCCACUCAGCAACAACACUUCAUCGCCCAUCACAGCUCAACCU
rnacentral:lncRNA from 1 species